rnacentral:rRNA from 1 species
GAUGAACGCUGGCGGCGUGCCUAAUACAUGCAAGUCGGGCGAACGGACGAGAAGCUUGCUUUUCUGAUGUUAGCGGCGGACGGGUGAGUAACACGUGGAUAACCUACCUAUAAGACUGGGAUAACUUCGGGAAACCGGAGCUAAUACCGGAUAAUAUUUUGAACCGCAUGGUUCAAAAGUGAAAGACGGUCUUGCUGUCACUUAUAGAUGGAUCCGCGCUGCAUUAGCUAGUUGGUAAGGUAACGGCUUACCAAGGCAACGAUGCAUAGCCGACCUGAGAGGGUGAUCGGCCACACUGGAACUGAGACACGGUCCAGACUCCUACGGGAGGCAGCAGUAGGGAAUCUUCCGCAAUGGGCGAAAGCCUGACGGAGCAACGCCGCGUGAGUGAUGAAGGUCUUCGGAUCGUAAAACUCUGUUAUUAGGGAAGAACAUAUGUGUAAGUAACUGUGCACAUUUUGACGGUACCUAAUCAGAAAGCCACGGCUAACUACGUG